GAACGCCAGCAGUCUUUAACAACGACAAGUAUGUAUCAAAUGGAAUAUCUCCAGAAGCGGUGUUAAUAAUGAAGUCAAACGACUUACUCAGUGCCAUCAUCUGCUGUUCAUCUGAUGAGAUUACAAACUUGUCUGCUCCAAGACGAUUUACCGCCUCUUCUCUCUUAGAUAUACUUGUACUGAAUACCGUUACUUUCAUUCCAAAAGCCUUUCCAAACUUCACUGCCAAGUGACCUAGACCACCUAAUCCAACGACACCUAGAGAUUUUCCCGGUUGGUUCAUGUUAUGUUUUAUCAUCGGAGUAUAAACAGUAAUUCCAGCACAUAGUAAAGGUGCUGCAGAUGCAAGAGGGUAAUUUUCAGGUAUUCUAAAGCAGUACCUUUCAUUGACUACAAUGUAACUGGAGUAUCCCCCUUUAGUAACUGUACCAUCGACGUCUAUACCAUCAAAAGUGUAUAUUGCUCCUUUUGAGCAAUGAACCUCUAAUGCAUCGCAACAAUAUUCACAUUCCCUGCAUGAAUUAAUAUAUGUUCCAACUCCAACAUGGUCGCCAAUUUUGAAGUGCUUAACAUCCGCACCAACCUCUCUCACGAUUCCCGUAAUUUCAUGACCUGGCACAAGAGGAUAUUUUGAAGUUCCAAGUAUAUUCUUUGUCCAGAUAACAUCAGCGAAACACAUUCCACAAAAAGCAAUGUCUAGUCGAACAUCAUCACUGCUGACUACCCUCCGGUUGAAUUCAUAAGGUGAAAGAACUCCAGACGGAUCUCUCGCUGCCCAACCAAGGCAAUUCUCGUUUGCACUUGCAAAAGUCAUUACAAUUAUUCUGGAAGGAAGAAGGAACAGGGA
rnacentral:misc_RNA from 1 species